UACGUAGGUGGCAAGCGUUGUCCGGAUUUAUUGGGUUUAAAGGGUGCGUAGGCGGUCUAUUAAGUCAGCGGUGAAAUCCUCCAGCUUAACUGGAGGGGUGCCAUUGAUACUGAUGGACUUGAGUCAAGUCGAGGUAGGCGGAAUUGACGGUGUAGCGGUGAAAUGCUUAGAUAUCGUCAAGAACACCAAUAGUGAAGACAGCUUACUGGGCUUAAACUGACGCUGAGGCACGAAAGUGUGGGGAUCAAACAGG
rnacentral:rRNA from 1 species